rnacentral:rRNA from 1 species
AGAGUUUGAUCCUGGCUCAGGAUGAACGCUGGCGGCGUGCCUAAUACAUGCAAGUCGAGCGAACGGACGAGAAGCUUGCUUCUCUGAUGUUAGCGGCGGACGGGUGAGUAACACGUGGAUAACCUACCUAUAAGACUGGGAUAACUUCGGGAAACCGGAGCUAAUACCGGAUAAUAUUUUGAACCGCAUGGUUCAAAAGUGAAAGACGGUCUUGCUGUCACUUAUAGAUGGAUCCGCGCUGCAUUAGCUAGUUGGUAAGGUAACGGCUUACCAAGGCAACGAUGCAUAGCCGACCUGAGAGGGUGAUCGGCCACACUGGAACUGAGACACGGUCCAGACUCCUACGGGAGGCAGCAGUAGGGAAUCUUCCGCAAUGGGCGAAAGCCUGACGGAGCAACGCCGCGUGAGUGAUGAAGGUCUUCGGAUCGUAAAACUCUGUUAUUAGGGAAGAACAUAUGUGUAAGUAACUGUGCACAUCUUGACGGUACCUAAUCAGAAAGCCACGGCUAACUACGUGCCAGCAGCCGCGGUAAUACGUAGGUGGCAAGCGUUAUCCGGAAUUAUUGGGCGUAAAGCGCGCGUAGGCGGUUUUUUAAGUCUGAUGUGAAAGCCCACGGCUCAACCGUGGAGGGUCAUUGGAAACUGGAAAACUUGAGUGCAGAAGAGGAAAGUGGAAUUCCAUGUGUAGCGGUGAAAUGCGCAGAGAUAUGGAGGAACACCAGUGGCGAAGGCGACUUUCUGGUCUGUAACUGACGCUGAUGUGCGAAAGCGUGGGGAUCAAACAGGAUUAGAUACCCUGGUAGUCCACGCCGUAAACGAUGAGUGCUAAGUGUUAGGGGGGUUCCGCCCCUUAGUGCUGCAGCUAACGCAUUAAGCACUCCGCCUGGGGAGUACGACCGCAAGGUUGAAACUCAAAGGAAUUGACGGGGACCCGCACAAGCGGUGGAGCAUGUGGUUUAAUUCGAAG